rnacentral:misc_RNA from 1 species
GCAACUCGGAAGAAACGAAUAUGAGAAGAAUUGGCAGCUUUUGGUUUAGAUCUAGGGCAAAAAAGAGUGGGUCUGAUGUUCCUGUUCUGAAGACUCUCGUUUUGGUGGCUACUAGGACACUUUGUGAUGAAGAAGUGCUGGUGAACUACAGGUUGAGCAACUCAAAGCGACGACAGCCAGAGGGGUAUACUCCAGUGGAUGAAGAGGAAUACCGAAGGAGAUAAAGCUAGUGAGUGAAACUUGAACGUCAGAAGUGUUGUAUAGGCAGG